rnacentral:rRNA from 1 species
GAUGAACGCUGGCGGCGUGCCUAAUACAUGCAAGUCGAGCGAACAGACGAGGAGCUUGCUCCUCUGACGUUAGCGGCGGACGGGUGAGUAACACGUGGAUAACCUACCUAUAAGACUGGGAUAACUUCGGGAAACCGGAGCUAAUACCGGAUAAUAUAUUGAACCGCAUGGUUCAAUAGUGAAAGACGGUUUUGCUGUCACUUAUAGAUGGAUCCGCGCCGCAUUAGCUAGUUGGUAAGGUAACGGCUUACCAAGGCAACGAUGCGUAGCCGACCUGAGAGGGGGAUCGGCCACACUGGAACUGGGCCACGGUCCAGACUCCUACGGGAGGCAGCAGUAGGGAAUCUUCCGCAAUGGGCGAAAGCCUGACGGAGCAACGCCGCGUGAGUGAUGAAGGUCUUCGGAUCGUAAAACUCUGUUAUUAGGGAAGAACAAAUGUGUAAGUAACUAUGCACGUCUUGACGGUACCUAAUCAGAAAGCCACGGCUAACUACGUG